GACGAGGGAUCCUAGCGUUGCUCGGAAUCAUUGGGCGUAAAGCGGGUGUAGGUGGCUUGACAAGUCAGGUGUGAAAGCCCAGGGCUCAACCCUGGAAGUGCAUUUGAAACUGUCGAGCUUGAGUGCUAGAGAGGUUAUUAGAAUACCUGGUGUAGUGGUGAAAUACGUAGAUAUCAGGUGGAACACCGGAGGCGAAGGCGGAUAACUGGCUAGACACUGACACUGAGACCCGAAAGUGUGGGGAUCAAACAGG
rnacentral:rRNA from 2 species